ACGCGCGCGCGCACGCACACACACACACUGAUAACUGCUAGCAUAAACACGUUUAGUAACAAGACACUUUCUGAAAGCAGGACAAACUCUUUUGUCCACAUGUUUACAGCGGAGGAGAAACUACAGGAAGACCACGCGCGUGAAAAUCUCAGCCCAAGCACCAGAACCUGAGCUCAGAGCACAUCACCGCAGGCAGAACAGCACUUGUAGACGAGAGGCAGGAAGGGAAUCGUAUGAUGCACAUCUAAUAACUUCACCAUCUGUCUUCGACGCUGGCCCGCCACCAACAUUGUGUGUGUCAGCCGCUGCCUGAGAACCCAACUUACAAUUAGGAAGAGAAAAAAACACCCCACUGCAAAUCUCAAGGUGGCUGGAAUAAUGUUGUAUGGGAUGUGGAGAA